rnacentral:rRNA from 1 species
GCUCUCUGACUAGUUGUGACGCUGAAGCACUUGCGAGUGGGGAACCAACGGGAAUGUAUCCCGUGGGGUACCGGCUGUAACUAUUGGUGCUAGGUGUUAGACCCUUUCCGGGGUUAUGUGGCGUGACUUUUGCUUUAAACGUGCCGUCGGGGGAGUACCACAGGGAGGUGGAUUGUCUUAUGAAUUGGGGGAAUCACUAGCGCACUCGCGCCAGCGAUACAUAGCCGACCUGAGAGGGUGAUCGGCCACACUGGGACUGAGACACGGCCCAGACUCCUACGGGAGGCAGCAGUAGGGAAUCUUCGGCAAUGGACGGAAGUCUGACCGAGCAACGCCGCGUGAGUGAAGAAGGUUUUCGGAUCGUAAAGCUCAGUUGUAAGAGAAGAACGAGUGUGAGAGUGGAAAGUUCACACUGUGACGGUAUCUUACCAGAAAGGGACGGCUAACUACGUGCCAGCAGCCGCGGUAAUACGUAGGUCCCGAGCGUUGUCCGGAUUUAUUGGGCGUAAAGCGAGCGCAGGCGGUUAGAUAAGUCUGAAGUUAAAGGCUGUGGCUUAACCAUAGUAGGCUUUGGAAACUGUUUAACUUGA